rnacentral:rRNA from 1 species
UACGUAGGGACCAAGCGUUGUUCGGAUUUACUGGGCGUAAAGGGCGCGUAGGCGGCAAUUCAAGUCAUCUGUGAAAUCUCCGGGCUUAACUCGGAACGGUCAGGUGAUACUGCUUUGCUAGAGUGCAGAAGGGGCAAUCGGAAUUCUUGGUGUAGCGGUGAAAUGCGCAGAUAUCAGGAGGAACACUGGUGGCGAAGGCGGGUCUCUGGGCCGAUACUGACACUGAGGAGCGAAAGCGUGGGGAGCGAACAGG